GUGCGUGCCGUUUGGUAUACCACAGUAUCGCACAUCGCGUAUCCGCUACACGCAUUUGAAUAUAACUUCACCGUUAAACCGAACAAAUUCGGAGCGCGAAAAAAGUUUCGGAAAGCAAAAGUUGAAAGCAAAUAAAAAAGUUCAAGUCGGGGCUUUAAGGCCAGAUCAUCGCAUUUGCCGAGCGAAAAAAGUGUUAAUUGAAAAAUAAUCAGCUGCAGAAGAUGGCAACAGCAUGCCUGCCGGAAUUCACGGAAUGCUUUCAAAACCCACCGGCGGAGCUACGAACAAAUGAAAGUGGUAGCAGCACUAGUAGUAAAGAACUAUCCAAAACCAGUGGAUUUUUCUUUAGCGCCAGCACAAAUUACCACAGCAAAGUGCAGCAGCUGAUCAGCUUCAGCUUCACCUCCUCGUUCCACCUGCUAUUUAUUACAUGUAUCCUGAGCAUCAGCAAAUUCUGCAAUGCGGCGGCAGUCAAUGCCGCACAGGUCACCGCUGCCACGCCCACUGCCAGCGAGAUAAUGCACAAUCUGAGCGGAUCGGCAUUGCUGGAGCGGCUGAAAGCCAGUACUCUAGGACCGCCCCUGGAUCGAUUAAAACACAUAGCUCCGGCGGCAGCGAAUAGUAUAAGUCCAGGAAUCGGAUCAGGAAUGGGAAUCGGAAUGGGCAACUUUGGCAACUCCAUCAACUCGGUGUUCAAUGGAAACCCUUUUAAGUUCUUGAACGUCUCGGGCAAGGUCGGCACCCCACUGGAUGUUUCGCUCAGUCUACCCAACAUCUGCGAUGAGAAGCAGUUCCAUUGCUCCUCCGGUGAAUGUAUCCCCAUACGAUUCGUGUGCGAUGGCGACCCCGAUUGUAAUGACCACAGCGACGAGCUACUGGCGGAGUGCAAGUUUCCAGCAUCAACUUGCAAAUUUGGGGAAUUCCGCUGCGGUUCCGGAAGUUGCAUUCCGCGUUUUUGGACCUGCGAUCAGGAAAACGACUGUGCCGAUGGCAGCGACGAAUCGCGGGAUCUCUGCCGAAACAAAACUUGUUCGCCCGAGCAGUUUGCCUGCAAGUCGGGCGAGGGCGAGUGUAUUCCCUUGGCCUGGAUGUGCGAUCAACACAAAGAUUGCCAUGAUGGAAGUGAUGAGGCUCAGUGCAAUAGGACGUGUCGGUCAGACGAGUUCACCUGUGGCAACGGACGUUGCAUACAACGUCAGUAUGUGUGCGACGAAGACAACGAUUGCGGCGAUGGAUCGGAUGAGAAGAACUGCGAGCAAAAUCGGAAAUGCCCCGAAAGUGCCUUUACCUGUCUAAGUGGCAUGUGCAUUACCAAGGAAUGGGUUUGCGACGGGGACAUUGAUUGCCAUGGUGGCGAGGAUGAGAGAAACUGCAACAUUCGUCGAUUAAGUCUCUGCCUUGGUCAAGAGUUCGAGUGCUCGGAUCGAAUCACCUGCCUGAAUCAACAGUGGGUGUGCGACGGCGAGGCAGAUUGUCCGGACGGCGAGGACGAGUCCGCGGAUCGUUGCGGGAGCAUGUCCUGUCGUCCGGAUCAAUUUCAGUGCGACGAUCGUAGGUGCAUAGCCGGCCACUUAACCUGCAACGGCGACAAGGACUGUGCGGAUGGCAGUGAUGAGAAGAAUUGCGGCAUUGUUGCACCAGUGAAAAGUUGUAAUGUAUCCAGCCAAUUUGAUUGCGGCGGUGGUCAGUGCAUCCCGCUGGCCGCGGUAUGCAACCACAGGAAGGACUGCCCGAAUGGCGAGGAUGAGCCCGCCGGCAAGUGUGCCAUCAAUGAGUGCCUCAUAAACAACGGCGGCUGCAUGCACCAGUGUGUCGAUAUGGAGGUGGGUUACCGCUGCGAAUGCAAAGAAGGCUACAAACUGGCCGCCGACAACCGCACCUGCAUGGACAUCGAUGAGUGUGAGACUCCCGGCGUUUGCUCCCAAGGUUGCGUCAAUGAGAUUGGAGCCUUUAAGUGCGAGUGCGAGGAGGGCUACAUCAGGGUCUUGAAGAAUCAUACCAGGUGCAAGGCCAGCGAAGGACAUGCCUCGCUGCUGUUGACCAGACGGCAUGACAUCCGGAAGAUAGCCCUCGACCGCCCGGAAAUGACUUCCAUAGUGAAUAGUACAAAGUCAGCCACAGCUUUGGACUUUGUGUUCCGCACAGGGAUGAUCUUCUGGAGCGACGUGUCCACGCAAACCAUCAACAAGGCCCCAAUUGAUGAGGGCAGUGAGAGGGCUGUGGUGCUGACCAAAUCCUCGGUGACCUCGGAUGGCCUGGCUGUGGACUGGAUCUACAAUCAUGUCUACUACACGGACACGAAGCAGUGCACCAUCGAACUGACCAACUUCGAGGGCAGCAUGGGCAAGGUCCUGGUGAAGGAUUCGCUAGACAUUCCGCGCUCCAUAGCCUUGGAUCCCAUUGAUGGCUGGAUGUACUGGUCCGACUGGGGUGCCUCUCCUCGCAUCGAAAGGGCGGGCAUGGACGGCUCCCACCGCACCACCAUCAUUAGCUACGAUGUCCAGUGGCCCAAUGGCAUUACUCUGGACCUGGUUCUUAAACGCCUCUACUGGGUGGACGGCAAGCUGAACUCCAUCUCAUCUUCCAACUACGAUGGUUCGCAAAGGCGGCAGGUACUUUACUCCGCCGAAUUCCUGAGACAUCCCUUCUCGAUCACCACCUUCGAGGACUACAUCUACUGGACCGACUGGGACAAACAGGCCGUCUUCAAGGCCAACAAGUUUAACGGAGAAGAUAUUCAGCCUGUUACCGCAACGCAUAUGUUGCAACAUCCCAUGGUGGUGCACGUGUAUCACCCGUUCCGCCAACCGGACGGUGUGAACCACUGUCAGUCGGUCAAUGGCCAUUGCUCACACCUCUGCCUGCCAGCACCCAGGAUUAACGAGCGGAGUCCUCGCAUAUCCUGCGCCUGUCCCACGGGUCUGAAGCUGAUGGCUGACGGCCUUUUGUGCGUGGAGGAUCUUGAAGAAACAACAGGCGUCAAUGGCACAGUCCCAUCUGACAAUGCCGAUGGGUCUGCCAAAAAGUCAGAGAAAGACUAUGGCCAAAUAGCCUGGAUUGUGAUAGCCAGUCUAACCAGCAUUGCCAUAGUAGCUUGCGGGAUCUUUGUCGUAUACCGACGCUGUACGCGGGCGGUGAACUCAAUUAACUUUGAGAAUCCCGUCUACCACAAGACGACGGAGGAUCACUUCAGUCUGGAAAAGAACGUGACGCCGCAUAUGUACGCCACUGCCCAGGAGGAGGAGGUAAGCGGGUCGGCACCACAGAUGGCCACAAAUCCCAACGACUUUAGUUAUGUCAGAUUCUAGGAGAUCUUAGGUGCUAAGUUAAUGUUGUACAUAGAUGGCUAAGUGCUCGUAUCAUAGUUGUAUUUAGGGCUAAGUAAGUUGAUCCAAACAGUAGAUAGACAAUUAAGAAUAGUUAUAAGUCCUGAAAUAGUUGUGAACGUAGCAAGUUUUUAGAUUUCGGCUUCUUUUUAACCAAAUCCGUUUCUCCAACUAUUUCAUUUUAAAUGCCGCGAGCCACGAAACCGCGAUCCCAAUUCACAUAUUAAAAACGUCUGCCAAUCCCCUCUUUGAACCGGGCACCCAAUGUGUCUAAGGCACCGCCAAAGAUCCACUUAAAUGCAUAUCCAGCAAAUGAAAACCGGUAGACCAAUAAAAACUAUGAAGUAUCUCCUACUAGCAAUUCCUUUUUGGACCAAGGCCCCAAGAACUCAACUAAAAGUGAAUGUUCAAUGAGAGAAAUGCUACAAAAAUGCUAGCAGUAAGAAAUAAAGAAUGCCAAAAAGAAAAAAUAGUAAAGACAAGAGCGACAUAAGAAUGGGGAAAAUGAAAAUACUCAACAAAUCUAAUUUGUUGCCUAGUUUAAAAUUUAAUUUAAAUAUAUCAACACUAAACACACAGACAUACCCGCACACAGUUACACUCACACGCCCAUAAACUAAUAACAACGAAAAACUUUUCUAGGCGCAACGUUUUGACAUCAACUAACGUCGCUCCACACAAACACACACACACAUCAACGCAUAUCCUACCACCCACAAUAACACCCACUCACACACACACACAAAAGCCCAGAAGAACUCAGAGAAGAGCGAGCCAGGAUUCAGAGCCAGAAGUCGAACUUUCCUUUCACGUCCAUGAAAUCAAUUGUAAAAAGUUAAGACAUUUCGUUAAAGUUUUGUACUGAAGGAAACAAAAAAAAAACAGCUAAACUGAAACUGUUUAUAGAUCUAAACAAUUAUUGUGACUAGCUAUUAUAUAUUUUUGUUAUCGAUGAAUUAAUUAAAAACAGUCUUGAAAGUAAAAUUUGUGGCUCCAAGUUGGAUUAAUAUUUUAGCAAAAUAUUUGAACAAAACAUCUCUGUAAAUACAUAGAAAAUACAACUAAAUAAAAACAACAAAAUUUAGAAAAAA